GCCGCCUUCUUUGACUGUAUGCCAUACAAACUGAAUGAAUCCGGACGUAGCAAAUGUAAUCCAGGCCAGCACUUUAGGUGGCCAUACCCUUUAAAAAAAGGGUGGCCAUUAUUUCCAUAUGAAACUUGCUCUAUAGUCUACAACUCAUUUUAAGGAAUUAAGUCUCUUUUUUUAAAAUGACUAAAUAUAUACAAAGAAGUACUAAUAUUUAUAGCGUAUAUUAGGUAUCACUAGAUUGAUCAUGGAAUAUACUUCCAUAAUAAAAUUGCUCAGCAAUGAAAAUAUUGAUACUAUUUUCUAUAUAUCUAGUCAGAUUUUUUUAAACAAAAGAAUUGCCUUCUUGGGAAGCAAAGAUGUGCAAUUGUUUUGGGAUGGAGGGAGGGAGUAUAAGAAACCAAGAAAUCAUAUUAAGGCCCUGUUUGGGAACACAGUUUUUUCAAAAUGCAGUUUUUCAAAUACUAAAGUAUACUUUAGUCAUGACAUUACUACAGUUUAUAAUGCUUCAGUUUUCGAAUACAACAGUAUCCAAUACAUCAAGAUGUUUGGAAAAAACUUUGGUUGAGACCAAUCAGCCAGAGCGGGACCCAGCUGGCGCUCUCUUUACAGAAAAAAAACUUUGGCUGAGACCAAAGUUUCCAAAACUGCAAAACAAGUGCAGUAUUUACAAUACUACAUUUUAGUAUACAGAGAUUUCAGAUGAGUUGCCAAACACCUCAAAGUAUAUAAUACCACAGUAUUGCUCAAUACUACAGUAUUGCUUCAAUACUGCAGAAAAACUUUGUUCCCAAACACCCCCUAAGUAGAUGUAAUAGACAUCAAUCUAACAGGCAGGAAUGGUAGAAUAAACAAUGUCAGGGCUCACCUUUCUAGAUGAAAACCUAUGAGAAUCAUUAAAUCAUGAGUGAACAGAUUGCAAGCGGGAGAUGCUCUAUGAUUUUUUUUUGGAUGAAACCUUGCUUCAUCAGACAAAGGCCCCGAUUUUUUUAUCCCCAGAUUUUGUGUAUAGAAGUGAAGAAAAUAAAUGGAAACAAAUUACUGAAAGAAACUCAAGUUUUGAUGCUGCAAGUUGUAACAAAGUGGUACAGAUAGAUACGGAGAUAACCUUUCAAAAA
rnacentral:lncRNA from 1 species